rnacentral:rRNA from 1 species
GGGGAGCGUCCCCAGCGGGGCGAAGCCGGAGGGUCACCGACGGUGGACUGCUGGGGAGUGAGAAUGCUGGCAUGAGUAGCGAGAGACGAGAGAGUAACUCGUCCGCCGUAAACCCGAGGUUUCCUGGGCGAGGCUAAUCCUCCCAGGGUCAGUCGGGGGCUAAGCCGAGGGCGGAAGCCGUAGGCGACGCGCAGCAGGUGGACAUUCCUGCACCG